UAUGCAUCUAUUUAUGUUCCUACUUUGCAAU
rnacentral:piRNA from 1 species